rnacentral:rRNA from 1 species
AGUGAACGCUGGCGGUAGGCCUAACACAUGCAAGUCGAACGGCAGCACAGUAAGAGCUUGCUCUUACGGGUGGCGAGUGGCGGACGGGUGAGGAAUACAUCGGAAUCUACUUUUUCGUGGGGGAUAACGUAGGGAAACUUACGCUAAUACCGCAUACGACCUACGGGUGAAAGCAGGGGAUCUUCGGACCUUGCGCGAUUGAAUGAGCCGAUGUCGGAUUAGCUAGUUGGCGGGGUAAAGGCCCACCAAGGCGACGAUCCGUAGCUGGUCUGAGAGGAUGAUCAGCCACAUUGGAACUGAGACACGGUCCAGACUCCUACGGGAGGCAGCAGUGGGGAAUAUUGGACAAUGGGCGCAAGCCUGAUCCAGCCAUACCGCGUGGGUGAAGAAGGCCUUCGGGUUGUAAAGCCCUUUUGUGGGGAAAGAAAAGCAGCAGGUUAAUACCCCGCUGUUCUGACGGUACCCAAAGAAUAAGCACCGGCUAACUUCGUG